CACUUCUGUUCCUUUCCUGGGUCACAUUCCUGCCCUGAUUGCUCCCAGCUCUCCCAAGCAGCCCUCUGGGUUUGAAAUAGCUGGCACCCUCCUGGCAUUGCUCCCUGCAGCCCCCUGGUGCUCCUGCCCAGGCCUGUGGGAGGGGCCUGCUUGUACAGCAGUUGGGCAGUUGUGCCAGGUCCAGGUUGUGAAAGCAGCAAAUACACGGCCAGUGAUCCAGAGACGCCCUACGAUAUUGCGGGGUAUCUCGGUCCUAUGACUCCCGGAAAGUGGGACGUCCGGCUGGAGUUCCAGCUUUACUGCCCGCAUUGGCACCCCAGCCAGUGCCCGUGGAACCUCCAGCCACUGCAGACCUGAGCUGUCCCCUUCACGAGCUGCUGGGCUGACAUCAGCUCCCAGCGCGGGUGCUUGGGUGUCUGGUCCCUGCUGGGUGCAAUGAUCAUCUGAUCAGUAAAGCCACGACUGGUGUGAGAUCCCUCCUGCCCGGUGCCCUGCCCUGGUGCUCCUGCUGCCUGCAUUUGGAUGCUGCACAUUCAGCCCUGGGCUCUCUCAUGCAAGCAUCUUGCUUUAGGAUUCACUCCCCUGGGUGACCUGCCCGACCUCAAUUCUACCGCCUGCCAAGGCACGGCACAGCAGCUAGACACUGGGGACUUAGUGUUGUUAAUGAUCCUGGUAUGGUGAUACCCAGGGCCCCAUUGCGCUGGGGCUGUAGAAACACAGCCGACUCCGUACUGCACCUAGCACAAUGUGCUUUGUACUGUGUUAUUGCCAUGGCGACCAGUGCUAGCACAGUGCGCCAGCAUCAGAAGAAGGGGUUUUUUUCUGUCGGGGGUGCUGGGGACGGAGGGAGAGCAACAAACAACAAGAUCAGCUUCCAUGGCUUUCAGUUUUUUACAGCUUGCUUGAAAGUAUAAGUGGUAAUGACAAGAUGCUGCUCCAGCCGCAGGACGUGACGUCAGAUCAAGGAGGAGCUGCGGCGCCAGCCCUGGGAAAAGGUGUUGUCCUGGGUGGAGCAGAGUAAGUGGUUGGGGGGCGUCAUCCCAGUUCCCGAGCUCCCUGUUGCGAGGCACACAGUUCAGCUCUCCAGUGCUCCGUGGGACCAGGAGCCUCGCUGCUUACCCAGAUCUUUCUCCCCUUUGUUUCAGCCCGUUGGCUCUGGACCAGCACCCUGUAGGAGGAGGGCACAGCUCCCAUGCUGUCCCGCUAACCCAAGGCUGGCUGAUGAGCGCAGGAGGGGAGCUGAGUCCCAGGUCCGAGCCUGGCAGUGCCGGGGCCAAGAGGAGAGCCCCCAGGGUCCUGUUUACUCAGCAGGACGAGCAGCACAACAGACAGGUGCUGAACCAAGGCGUAUGCAGAGGCCAGGUGCCGUGGGGCCUGUACCAGGUAGGUGAGCCUGCUCUGAGACACCAGCCAAGACUGGAGGAAUGGCUGGAAUCACCUGCUGGCAAUGGAAGCUACCAGUGGACACCUCCCCUGAUGUCCCUCUGCUUCCUGCACUGGCACUGAGCUGCUCUCGCUCACGGCCUCUAGCCAUUGGCAAUGGGAGGGGCAUUUUCCCUUCAUCUGGGAGAUGGGGUGGGCAGAGAUGCCCACCAUUUAAAUGGUGGGGAAGAGGAAUGUCAAACUGCUCACACUCAGAUCUGAGCAUGAUAAUCUCUCCGGGCAGCUCCCACCCAGCUCCUUGGGUCAAUGGCCUUGAACCAAACAGCAGAUGAGUGAGUGGGGCCCAUCAGCUCAGAUAGGCCAGUCUAGAAUGUGUCUCGCCCUUUCUUCGGAGCAUCUCCAAAUACCUCCCAAAUCCUCACACCUCCAGGGAGACAGAU
ensembl:lncRNA